GUCCUCCUCUUUCUCCUGCCAGCUUCCCAAGCGCUCGCUCGACCCGAAGUCCACUCUGCUGCUCUCGCUCUCCUCUGGGGGCAGCUCUGCGGACUGGAUUCCCAUAGCCUCAGAGAGGCGGGGCCUUGAGCCAGCUGCGGGUCCUUCCAGGAUGGGGCAAGGGACCCGAAAUGCACUCCCAACAGGCAUGGCCUGGAGACCCUCAGCGAAGAGUCCUCUCUUCCCUUAACCAGGUUAACUCUCCUUACCUCCACCAGUGAGCCUGAGAACAUUCACCUCCCUUAGCUGCAUGGAGCCCUUAAGCUCCUCUAACUGGGUCAGCAUUCCUCAAUACGUGGCUCCCAGUUCUGAGCCUGCACCUCCAGCUGUGGCCGGAGCACUGCCAACAACUGCACCAAUAUCACCUCUCUGGCUCUGGAUUCCUACCUCUAUUAAUACAGCCAAAAGCUUCACUCAA
rnacentral:lncRNA from 10 species